GCGAGUUAACAAAACUCCAAACCCAUGUGAACAUACCUUUUGUUGCCUCGGCAGGUCGUGCUGCGCGGCCGGACCGCUACCCUGGAGCAGCUACCCUGGAGUAGCUACCCUGGAGUUGGCGGCACCUACCCCGCAGCACGUAACCAGGCCUGCCGGAGUGCCCCUAAACUCUGUUUUACACCUGUAUCUCUGAGUCUAUUAUACAAAUAAGUUA
rnacentral:misc_RNA from 1 species